UACGGAAGGCAGCAGUGGGGAAUAUUGCACAAUGGGCGAAAGCCUGAUGCAGCUAUGCCGCGUGUAUGAAGAAGGCCUUAGGGUUGUAAAGUACUUUCAUCGGGGAGGAAAAAACAAAACUAAUAAUUUUAUUUCUUGACGUUACCCGAAAAAGAAGCACCGGCUAACUCCGUGCCAGCAGCCGCGGUAAUACGGAGGGUGCUAGCGUUAAUCAGAAUUACUGGGCGUAAAGAGCACGUAGGUGGUUUUUUUAAGUCAGAUGUGAAAUCCCUGGGCUUAACCUAGGAACUGCAUUUUGAAACUGAAAUACUAGAGUAUCGUAGAGGGAGGUAGAAUUCUAGGUGUAGCGGUGAAAUGCGUAGAUAUCUGGAGGAAUACUUGUGGCGAAAGCGGCCUCCUAAACGAAUACUGACACUGAGGUGCGAAAGCGUGGGGAGCAAACAGGGAUUAGAUACCCGU
rnacentral:rRNA from 1 species